rnacentral:tRNA from 1 species
GCCGAAGUGGCGGAAUUGGUAGACGCGCACGACUCAAAAUCGUGUUCCGCAAGGAGUGAGGGUUCGAUUCCCUCCUUCGGCACCA